GCCGAGGUGGUGGAACUGGUUAUACACGCGACGCUUAAAACGUCGUGGGCCUCACGGCCCAUGUGGGUUCAACUCCCACCCUCGGCACCA
rnacentral:tRNA from 1 species